rnacentral:rRNA from 1 species
AUAUCACUAAGCGGAGGAAAAGAAACUAACUAGGAUGUCCUCAGUAACGGCGAGUGAAGCGGGAACAGCUCAAUUUUGAAAUCUUGGUCUUUCAGAUCACGAAUUGUAGUUUCUAGAAGCGCUUUCGGGGGUAGCCUAGGUUUAAGUCUGUUGGAAUGCAGCAUCAUAGAGGGUGAGAAUCCCGUAUAUGGUCUGGUGCCUACUCCUGUGUGAUGCGUUUUCAAAGAGUCGGGUAGUUUGAGAUUGCUGCCCAAGAUGGAAGGUAAAUAUCUUCUAAAGCUAAAUAUUGGCGAGAGACCGAUAGCGCACAAGUA